CGUAACACGUAUGUAACCUACCCUUGUCAGGGGGAUAGCCUCUCGAAAGAGAGAUUAAGCCCGCAUAAAAUCACACACUGGCAUCAGUAAAUGAUCAAAUAUUUAUAGGACAAGGAUGGGCAUGCGGAACAUUAGCUAGUUGGUAAGGUAACGGCUUACCAAGGCUACGAUGUUUAGGGGAUCUGAGAGGAUGACCCCCCACACUGGUACUGAGACACGGACCAG
rnacentral:rRNA from 1 species